UACGGAGGGGGCUAGCGUUGUUCGGAAUUACUGGGCGUAAAGCGCACGUAGGCGGCUUUGUAAGUUAGAGGUGAAAGCCCGGGGCUCAACUCCGGAAUUGCCUUUAAGACUGCAUCGCUAGAAUUGUGGAGAGGUGAGUGGAACUGCGAGUGUAGAGGUGAAAUUCGUAGAUAUUCGCAAGAACACCAGUGGCGAAGGCGGCUCACUGGCCCGAUACUGACGCUGAGGUGCGAAAGCGUGGGGAGCAAACAGG
rnacentral:rRNA from 1 species